CACCACACUGCGAGUAAACUUUGUCUUAGAAGUAAAGGGAUGCUGUAAAUCUGAGGAAGUGUUUUAAGUACGUACUUGAAACCAGCCGAUUUUCUAAGCUUCUAUUUGUGUGCCGAUUAACCUAGAAAUUUGAGCUCAUUACUUUUCCGUCUGCAAUUCUUCACUUGGUUGCUUUAUUGGAAAAAACAUUAAUUUCUUCAAUCUGCACACACAAGAAGAGCUGCUUGUUUUUCACUCUCGAGAAAAAAAUAAAACAAAUAAUAAAACAGAGUUAAAUUUCGUAAUUUUACUCUCGGCGCACACCCAGCAACUCAUGUGAGAGACGUUGAAAGCUGCUUUAGAUAUUUUAUGUGCAUGCAUCGUACCUGAAUUUACAUCAUUUAAUGAUGUUGUUCGUAGUCAACAAGUGCGCGCGCCACUGUGUAUAUGGGUUAGAAACGCUCGGUAGUCGGUAGUGAUGGAGUGUAUGAUGUUUU
rnacentral:lncRNA from 1 species